AACCACAUGGAACUACAUGGUUCUUGGGCACAGGAACCCACAUGGCACCUCCGCCAGGUGGAAGCCACUGGACCUCCCCCCGUGCUGGUGGCAAAGGGCUAGUCAUCCUCUGACAGAGCUCCCACACCUUCCCUGAGCCACACAGCCUGAUGAGUAAAAGCCUGCUCAGGGCUGUAACUAAGCCAGGUCACAGCUUUUCUGGCACACAAGACGCUGAGGGUUUCACUUCCACUUCCAUCUGUGAGACUCAUAGCAAAGCACCUGGACUCUUAUAGGUUCAUUGCCAAUUAAUUUCAUCUGCCCCCAGGGUACAGCCAUGGGCUGACCCUGAACUGGGACUGCCAAAGGAACCCUUCAGAGGCUGCGCUGGGAGGACCUUGGCUGGCCGCUGGCCCCCACCCAGCUGCUGUCUUGUCCUCAAGCUCUGAAAACGUUCCUGGAUGGCUUUUUAGCAGCUUCACAUUUACUCCUGCCUCUAGGGUUGGUUAGGUUUCGAUCAGCCGCACCUUUAGCCAGACUCCCACUCUGGAUGGUGAGGGUGCGCGCGUUAGGCGGAGCUAUCCCCUGCACGUCCGGCGCCGAAAUAAACAAAUACCAGCUUAAUAGCA